rnacentral:lncRNA from 1 species
GUUUUUCUAUGUGUAUGAGAAUUUUGAGAUGAAUCAAAUGGUGCAAAAGAGAGAUAUUGGCUCUGAAAGAUUGGCAUCAAGAUUAGAGAAGGAGGCUAGCCAAUUCCUCAAUUUGGUAACUUCGAUUCUUUUCAAUUUUUUUGUGCUUGUUUCCAACUUAGUUUUUAAGAAGUUUGCAAAAUUUGAGUUAAGAUCAAUGGUUUAUUCUUUAGUUAUUGAGGAUUAUAUCUGUUAUAAGAAUUAUCAGGGUUUGAUUGGGAUUUAUUUAGGGUUUAGGAUUUAGAUAGGGUUUGGUUUAGAGUUUAGGAUUUGGUUUAGAGUUUAGAUUGGGAUUUGAUUUAGGAUUUAGGAUUUAGAUUAGGAUUUAGUUAGGAUUUGAUUUAGAGUUUAGAGUUUGGAUUAGGGUUUGAUUAGGAUUUGGUUUAGAGUUUAGAGUUUGGAUUAGGAUUUGAUUAGGAGUUAAGAUUUGAUUAGGAUUUGGUUUAGGAUUUGGUUUAGGAUUUAGAAUUUGGAUUAGGAUUUGGAUUAGGAUUUAGAUUAGGAUUUAGGAUUUGAUUUAGGGAUUGGUUUAAAGUUUAUGGUUUGAUUAAGGUUUGAUUAGGAUUUGAUUAGGGUUUGAUUUAGGAUUUAAGGUUUAAGAUUUAAUCAAUUUUGGCCUAAAGUUUGAAUGAAGUUCAAUAGGAUUUUGACUAGAAUUAAAUAAAGAUUGAAUUGAGAUAUAUUUGAGUGAUAUUUGUGAUCCUUCUAAUAUUUCUUUAAGAGUUCUUAUUGUUUGUUUGAAAUUUCUUAGAGUUUUUUUUGAAUUCGAUUAAGCUUGCUUAGCAUUAUUAUGGUCUAAUUAGAGCUUUAUUAGUAUUCUAUUAGAAUUAGGAUUUUCUU